rnacentral:rRNA from 1 species
AACGAACGCUGGCGGCGCGUUUUAAGCAUGCAAGUCGGACGGUAGUAGUAGCAAUACUAUGAGAGUGGCGAACGGGUGAGUAACACGUAAGUGAUCUGCCCUGGGGAUGGGGAUAGCACAUGGAAACAUGUGGUAAUACCGGAUAACGUAACAAUAUUUAAAGAUGAUGUUAUGAAAAGAGCUACGGCUCUGCCCUGGGAUGAGCUUGCGGCCCAUUAGCUAGUUGGUGAGGUAAAGGCCCACCAAGGCGACGAUGGGUAGCCGGCCUGAGAGGGUGAACGGCCACAUUGGGACUGAGACACGGCCCAGACUCCUACGGGAGGCAGCAGCUAAGAAUCUUCCGCAAUGGGCGAAAGCCUGACGGAGCGACGCCGCGUGAAUGAAGAAGGCAGAGAUGUUGUAAAGUUCUUUUCCUGUUGAAGAAUAAGAUAUAGAGGGAAUGCUAUAUUGAUGACGUUAGACAGGGAAUAAGCCACGGCUAAUUACGUG